AAAAAAAAAAAAAAAAUCUGAAAGAAAGGAAAAAGGGGAAAAAGCCGAGCGAGAGCCGGGGGGGCAGAGCGGAGCGAGAGCGAGCGGGCGCGUUCCCACCGUGAUGCCGUUCUCAUUUUGACCGUUCUCGCCGAUUUUUUUUUUUUAUUUUGGGGGAGGGUUUUGCUGCCGGCUGCACCGUGUGUUCGCACAGGAGGAGAAGAAGAAGGAAGGGGCAAGGAAGAGGAAAAGAAGAGGAUUUAUUUACCCGACCUACUUUGGAUCUCUCUUUUUCCUGCGUGUGCCAUUAUUAUUCCCGUCCUCUAUUUUUACACUUCGCCGUGAAUUCGUCUCCUCUGCGAAUUUAGUCACAUCCGAUUUUUUUUUUUUUGUAAUUUUUCUUUUUUUUUUUUUUUUUU